rnacentral:rRNA from 1 species
CAGUCGAACGGAACUGUUUUGAAGAUUUCUUCGGAAUGAAUUUGAUUUAGUUUAGUGGCGGACGGGUGAGUAACGCGUGAGUAACCUGCCUUCAAGAGGGGAAUAACAUUCUGAAAAGAAUGCUAAUACCGCAUGACAUAUCGGAACCACAUGGUUUUGAUAUCAAAGAUUUUAUCGCUUGAAGAUGGACUCGCGUCCGAUUAGUUAGUUGGUGAGGUAACGGCUCACCAAGACCGCGAUCGGUAGCCGGACUGAGAGGUUGAACGGCCACAUUGGGACUGAGACACGGCCCAGACUCCUACGGGAGGCAGCAGUGGGGGAUAUUGCGCAAUGGGGGCAACCCUGACGCAGCAACGCCGCGUGAAGGAUGAAGGUUUUCGGAUUGUAAACUUCUUUUAUUAAGGACGAAAAAUGACGGUACUUAAUGAAUAAGCUCCGGCUAACUACGUGCCAGCAGCCGCGGUAAUACGUAGGGAGCAAGCGUUGUCCGGAUUUACUGGGUGUAAAGGGUGCGUAGGCGGCUUUGCAAGUCAGAUGUGAAAUCUAUGGGCUCAACCCAUAAACUGCAUUUGAAACUGUAGAGCUUGAGUGAAGUAGAGGCAGGCGGAAUUCCCCGUGUAGCGGUGAAAUGCGUAGAGAUGGGGAGGAACACCAGUGGCGAAGGCGGCCUGCUGGGCUUUAACUGACGCUGAGGCACGAAAGCGUGGGUAGCAAACAGGAUUAGAUACCCUGGUAGUCCACGCUGUAAACGAUGAUUACUAGGUGUGGGGGGUCUG